rnacentral:rRNA from 1 species
CACGCUGUAAACGAUGGAUGCUAGCUGUAUUCGGUAUCGACCCCGGAUGUAGCGAAGCUAACGCGUUAAGCAUCCCGCCUGUGGAGUACGGUCGCAAGACUAAAACAUAAAGGAAUUGACGGGGACCCGCACAAGCGGUGGAGCGUGUUGUUUAAUUCGAUGGUAAGCGAAGAACCUUACCCAGGCUUGACAUCCUUGGAAUUUCUACGAAAGUAGAAAGUGCUUUUAGAGCCAAGUGACAGGUGA